UACGAAGGGUGCAAGCGUUAAUCGGAAUUACUGGGCGUAAAGCGUGCGUAGGCGGUUUGUUAAGUCUGUUGUGAAAUCCCCGGGCUCAACCUGGGAAUGGCAAUGGAUACUGGCAGGCUAGAGUGUGUCAGAGGAUGGUGGAAUUCCCGGUGUAGCGGUGAAAUGCGUAGAGAUCGGGAGGAACAUCAGUGGCGAAGGCGGCCAUCUGGGACAACACUGAUGCUGAGGCACGAAAGCGUGGGGAGCAAACAGG
rnacentral:rRNA from 1 species